GCGCGCCGCGCUGACUGCACAGACAGCAGAAGUCAACCAAAGAAUUUCUGCUACAGCUGAUUCGGUCGCCAUCUUUGUCGUGAACAUAAACAACAGCAGCGAGUCGCGUUGGCACUUGGAUGUUCCGCUGUCAUUCGGAAGAAAGCGACCACCGUCCCCCCGCUGCAGAGCCGAUCUUUUCGACCGAAGAUGACACUUGGUUUGGUCCCCUGAGCCACCGCGUCAGUCGGGAGAUGGGGAUCCAGUGUGGAUUUCCUCAGCGGGAGGGAGCGGAGGUUUAAAGGGGGGCGGGGAGGGCAGCAGAGGGGCCUUGCUGCUCGUCAGCCCUGGAGGAGAUGGACCAAGAGUACGAGAGAAGACUGCUGAGGCAAAUCAACCACCAGAACCUGCCGACAGAGGCCCGCCUGUCAAAGUGUGUCAGUGCUACCUGCAGUCCUGUCAGUGUUAAGUCAGGGGACCGCUUCAUUCCCACCCGCGCUGGGAGCAACUGGAGCAUCAACUUCCACUACGCCAACGAGAACUGUCGCUCGCCAAACCAGAACCAUAAAGCAAAGGAUGCCAGCUCAGAUUCAAGCAAAGAUGCUGUGGCGUAUGCUGCCCUGUUGAGGAAUGAGUUACUGGGGGCAGGGAUAGAGACUGUGCCAGACCCUCACACAGACGACCGGCGGCAUCCAACCCUCUCUCAAGACUCUCACAGCCUUUUUAGGUACACUGUCCACACUAAGAGAGUGCCUUUCGAUAGCGAUCACGAAGUCUCCCCAUACUCCCUUUCUCCACUUAGUAACAAGAGUCACAAGCUGCUCCGCUCCCCUCGUAAACCAGCCCGUAAGAUCUCCAAGAUCCCCUUCAAAGUGCUGGAUGCUCCGGAGCUGCAGGAUGACUUCUACCUCAACCUGGUAGACUGGUCAGCCGGCAACUUGCUCAGUGUCGGCCUGGGAGCCUGCGUCUACCUGUGGAGUGCCUGCACCAGCCAGGUGACAAGGUUGUGUGACCUGUCAGUGGAUGGAGACUCUGUUACAUCAGUUUGUUGGAAUGAGAGGGGGAGUCUUGUUGCUGUCGGAACCCACAAAGGUUACGUUCAGAUCUGGGACGCAGCGGGAGGGAGGAAGCUGACCAGCCUGGAGGGUCACUCAGCACGUGUAGGUGCCCUGGCGUGGAACGGGGAGCAGCUGUCGUCGGGGAGUCGGGACCGAGUGAUCCUACAGCGGGACGUCAGAACCCCCCCUACUGCUGAGAGGAGGCUGCAAGGUCACAGACAAGAGGUGUGUGGCCUCAAGUGGUCUCCUGACCACCAGCACCUCGCGUCCGGAGGCAACGACAACAAGCUGCUGGUGUGGAACAGCUCCAGCCUUCUCCCCGUGCAGCAGUACAGUGACCACCUGGCGGCGGUGAAGGCCAUCGCCUGGUCCCCACACCAACACGGGUUGCUGGCGUCAGGGGGUGGGACCGCCGACCGCUGCCUGCGCUUCUGGAACACGCUGACGGGUCAGGCGCUGCAGAGCACAGACACCGGCUCCCAGGUCUGCAACCUGGCGUGGUCCAAGCACGCCAACGAACUGGUGAGCACUCACGGCUACUCUCAGAACCAGAUCCUGGUGUGGAAGUAUCCGUCACUAACGCAGGUGGCCAAGUUGACAGGACACUCCUACAGAGUGCUGUAUCUGGCUGUGUCACCUGACGGGGAGGCCAUCGUUACAGGAGCCGGGGAUGAGACACUACGUUUCUGGAACGUCUUCAGUAAGACACGCUGCACCAAGGUACAGUGGACUACAGUACCACAUAUCCAGUCUAUACAACUCUGAUGAGGCCUCUACUUAACGAUAGUUACUGAACGAUAUCUUCAAAGUACUUCAAGGAAUCAAAGUCGGUGCUGAACCUCUUCACGCGAAUACGAUAGUGAAUAGCCCGGGUCAGGACUGGUUUAAGGAGGAGCCCGCUGUGCUGAGCUGUGGUUGAAAUGCACCAGAGUCACCGACAAACACUCACAGACUAGAGCCCUCUCAUCUCAGCACCAUCACUCAGUGCACCAAGCAACACUACAGGAGUCCUCCUCAAAUCCACUUUUUCUACAGAGGAUCCCAACUUCCAACAAUAACUGCCAUCCCUCACAGUGAUGUCACUGGUUACAGAAACAAAAACAGUGUAUUGUCAGGACACGUUGUCUGCUUAAAAAAAAAAGAAAGUUGGUCUUGUUUUCUUUUCUGUUGUGGAAGUGAUGAAAUUGUUUUAUUAUAUAUAUUAGCAGAAGUAUACACGUACAAGAGUUCAAAGCUAUAUAAUGUCAUGCCGUCACAUUUUUAAAAGGCUCUCCUUUAUAACAGAGAGAAGAAGAAGCCUGGCUCGG